AACGAACGCUGGCGGCAUGCCUAACACAUGCAAGUCGAACGAGACCUUCGGGUCUAGUGGCGCACGGGUGCGUAACGCGUGGGAACCUGCCCUUAGGUUCGGAAUAACUCCCCGAAAGGGGUGCUAAUACCGGCUAAUGUCUUCGGACCAAAGAUUUAUCGCCUUUGGAUGUGCCCGCGUUGGAUUAGCUAGUUGGUAGGGUAAAAGCCUACCAAGGCGACGAUCCAUAGCUGGUCUGAGAGGAUGAUCAGCCACACUGGGACUGAGACACGGCCCAGACUCCUACGGGAGGAAGAAGUGGGGAAUAUUGGACAAUGGGCGAAAGCCUGAUCCAGCAAUGCCGCGUGAGUGAUGAAGGCCUUAGGGUUGUAAAGCUCUUUUACCCGGGAUGAUAAUGACAGUACCGGGAGAAUAAGCUCCGGCUAACUCCGUG
rnacentral:rRNA from 1 species